AGAGUUUGAUCCUGGCUCAGAGCGAACGCUGGCGGCAGGCUUAACACAUGCAAGUCGAGCGGGCGUAGCAAUACGUCAGCGGCAGACGGGUGAGUAACGCGUGGGAACGUACCUUUUGGUUCGGAACAACACAGGGAAACUUGUGCUAAUACCGGAUAAGCCCUUACGGGGAAAGAUUUAUCGCCGAAAGAUCGGCCCGCGUCUGAUUAGCUAGUUGGUAGGGUAAUGGCCUACCAAGGCGACGAUCAGUAGCUGGUCUGAGAGGAUGAUCAGCCACAUUGGGACUGAGACACGGCCCAAACUCCUACGGGAGGCAGCAGUGGGGAAUAUUGGACAAUGGGGCAACCCUGAUCCAGCCAUGCCGCGUGAGUGAUGAAGGCCCUAGGGUUGUAAAGCUCUUUUGUGCGGGAAGAUAAUGACGGUACCGCAAGAAUAAGCCCCGGCUAACUUCAUG
rnacentral:rRNA from 1 species